CCAAACCGAUGACCUAAAGAGUCAGGUUAGCUACCUCAAAGAUCAACCUCAUCAAGGUAGAGAGAUUAUGAUAAAUCUCGUGAACAGGUCUCACUUAAGCAUAGAAACAGUGAGACCUUUUACUAUUGUUAGCUUGAACCUUUAAAAGCCGAUUGUAAUUCACUUUAUAUAUUGAAUUGCAGGAAAAUUCCUUGGCUAGAAUGGCCAAUGUAGUGGAUAUAAACGCCUUGCAGAGGACCACUACAAGUCACAUGUGCAAUCUAUGUGUCUUAUACUAGGUUUUGCUAUAUUUCUUAGUUAAAAAGUUUCUGAUUAUUGCUGAAAAGUUUCAAUCCUCUGUCACAAUACAAU
rnacentral:lncRNA from 1 species